rnacentral:rRNA from 1 species
AUUGAACGCUGGCGGCAGGCCUAACACAUGCAAGUCGAGCGGAUGAAGGGAGCUUGCUCCUGGAUUCAGCGGCGGACGGGUGAGUAAUGCCUAGGAAUCUGCCUGGUAGUGGGGGAUAACGUCCGGAAACGGGCGCUAAUACCGCAUACGUCCUGAGGGAGAAAGUGGGGGAUCUUCGGACCUCACGCUAUCAGAUGAGCCUAGGUCGGAUUAGCUAGUUGGUGGGGUAAAGGCCUACCAAGGCGACGAUCCGUAACUGGUCUGAGAGGAUGAUCAGUCACACUGGAACUGAGACACGGUCCUGACUCCUACGGGAGGCAGCAGUGGGGAAUAUUGGACAAUGGGCGAAAGCCUGAUCCAGUCAUGCCGCGUGUGUGAAGAAGGUCUUCGGAUUGUAAAGCACUUUAAGUUGGGAGGAAGGGCAGUAAGUUAAUACCUUGCUGUUUUGACGUUACCAACAGAAUAAGCACCGGCUAACUUCGUG